UACGUAGGGAGCAAGCGUUGUUCGGAUUUACUGGGCGUAAAGGGCGCGUAGGCGAGUCUUUAAGUCAGGGGUGAAAUCCUGGAGCUCAACUCCAGAACUGCCUUUGAUACUGAAGAUCUUGAGUUCGGGAGGGGUGAGUGGAACUGCGAGUGUAGAGGUGAAAUUCGUAGAUAUUGGGAAGAACACCGGUGGCGAAGGCGGCUCACUGGCUCGUAACUGACGCUCAUGCACGACAGCGUGGGGAUCAAACAGG
rnacentral:rRNA from 1 species